AGGUAAUGACUCGUGGUAUGGUAAAAUCACUUAGUAUAGAAGCAAUGAAAAUGGAUAAUUUGCCGCCAAGUACCAGUGUUUAAUUUCGAAUUUGUUAUAUUUGUACACUGGUAUGCAGUUCAACGACUAUACGGAAAUCGGCUUAUAGCUUAAGACAUAGUCUGACCUAAUACGAAAGUAUUAA
rnacentral:ribozyme from 1 species